UUAAUCUAAAACCCAGUGUUUAACAAAAACAAUAAAAUGAUCAGAAAAUAAUGUAACAUGUUUACAGCACUUUGGAUGGUUUUUACAUAAUCACAGUUUUUACAUUUUACAUAUAAUGAAUACCACAAUGUAUAGGAUUAUAAUGAUUAUAUACUUAGAUCCAAAUAUAUGUGUCACAGACAUCUGUUGGCCUGGUUAAUAUACAAAUAUAUAUAUUAACCAAAUUACCCAUAUUGCACGAGAGAACACGGAAAUCUAUUAUCUUUGUGAGAGUAAAUAGUUUCUUUGAACUUUUAUAACUCACUACAGCUUUUCACCUUUAAUAAAUUUUCAAAGAAUCCUUUUUAUUAUAGUUUAUAUUUUCUCUAUUAUCUGAAUUUUGUAAUGUUGGCAACAAGUACUGAUCAUCAAUAGGGUUAUUAUCUGAACUUUGUGACGUUGGCAACAAGUUCUGAUCAUCGAUAGGGUUAUUAACCAAAUAAUCCCAGAAAGUAUCUAAUAUUUGACUUUUACCCAAUGUUUGAUAACAAUAUUGAAUCUAAGUCCAAUUUUCUAAUUUAAAUAAUGGUUGAAUCCAUGAUUAGUUUUUUUUUUCUUUUUCUGAUUGCUGCUGAGGUCAUCACCAUUAAACCAGUUUAGGCAGCAAAAAGACUGUUACAGGGUUUCACUGAAUUUCUCUAUUAUUUUUUUCUAUUGAUUUUGACCACCCCAUGAUGUAUUUAUAACAGCUAACAUGAUGGUUGAUUUUCAAAACAUCUGGUGUUUUCACAUAAAUCAUAUUAAAGAAAAUUGCUUCCAGUCAAUGUUAAAGAAAACACUUGACCUUUAAGGUGGCACCUAACACUACAGGGAGAUAACUCUGUAAAGUCAGCUAAACGUUUUAAUUAUGUUGUGUUAUUAGAGGGAAUAUUAAGCUUUUCAAUGAUCAAAAUUGGUGUUUGUCAAACUGCUAUAUAACCAAUGUAAUUUUUCUGACAAAACGGUUGGUUCAAAAUUUUUAUAUUUAUAAAGGUCAAAGUAAAUACUUUGUUAAAAUUUUAUGAAAAUUAAACGAGCCAAAUUAAUUUUAGUGAAAGUGCUGGGUACCACCUUAAGUCAUAUGAGUUCAAACAAAAAC
rnacentral:lncRNA from 1 species